rnacentral:siRNA from 1 species
UAAAACAGGUGCAAUUCUAC